rnacentral:piRNA from 1 species
CAGUGGCUAAUAUGCAGGAAUUAUGCAA